rnacentral:rRNA from 1 species
AUGGAAAAUGGUAGUCUUGACAGGUACUUGUACGAUAAAAAUAAGCCAACACUACACUGGCCUCAGAGGUAUAAGAUCAUCAAAGGUGUUGCAUCAAGUUUGUUGUAUCUUCAUGUGGAGUGGGAACAAAUCGUCAUCCAUCGAGAUAUAAAGGCGAGCAAUGUGCUCUUGGACGGUCAGAUGAAUGGACGGCUGGAUGAUUUUGGUCUAGCAAGGUUAUACGACCAUGGCACGGUUGCUAAAACAACACAUGUGGUGGGAACCAUGGGAUACCUUGCACCGGAACUUAUACGCACCGGGAAGGCAACACCCUUGACCGAUGUGUUCGCAUUUGGCGUGUUUCUCCUAGAGGUUGCAUGUGGGUGUAGACCAAUCAGCUGCAGGAAGGACAACACACAAACAAUGUUGAUUGAAUGGGUGCUUGAACAUCACCGCAAUGGAUUAGUUAUCGAUGUGGUAGAUCCACGGCUCAUGGGCAAUUUCAACAUAGAGGAAGCCACCCUCGUGCUCAACUUAGGAUUAUUGUGCUCCUACCCAUCACCAAGUGCAAGGCCUAGCAUGCGAAAGGUCGUGCAAUACCUGGACCGUGGUCAGUUAAUUCCUGACAUGUCUCCAACCUAUGUGAGUUACAACAUGAUAGCGAUGAUGCAUAACGAAGGGUCCGGUUCGUACAAAAUGGCAUGCACUUUGUCGAAUACUUAG